AAAGAAACACACUUAUUAUUGUGUGCCGCCAUUUACAAAAUGUCAAUAUCGUUAUAUUGACAGCAGACGUUUCAAGUUAAGUUUAAUUCUUGGUCUUCGAAUGAAUCGGCAUCUUAUUAGCACACUAGUGAAGUCAAGGGAGAAAAUCAGACAUUUCAAUGUCAAAACAUCUUCCCUUUCACAUCAUGGUUGAACACACGCGCAUCAUCAGACAUCAGAACAAUGUUUACAAGGUCAAGGUCACUUUUGAAGAAUCACGCCAAAUAUCCAAAUCAGACGAAGUGAUUGCUUUUGAAAAAGUGGAGCCUGUAAUUCGAGCAGUGUUGUACGCUGAGGAGAGGGGCCAGCUGUUGAGGUUGGUAGACACAAAGGAGCUUACUGUCUCUUGUGAAAAGAAAUACUGGAAAGCUUCUGAAAAAUUGGGAUUCAAGCAGAAUGGAAAGACACUGGAAGCAUAUCCUUACAUGCUAUUAUUUCAUGUCAGGUUAAAAAGUGAAAGUCAUCAGGCGACUGGAAAGAAGGCUGAGAACACUUGUGAAAAGGGGACAAAAGUACAGAAAGGGUACACAUCAGACAAAACGAACAGGCUUAUUAGUGACUUUAGUCAGAACAACUUUCAGCCUGUUGUUGAGUUAUCUAGAGUGUCUCUGCGGUCUUUUAAUCAGCAGAAAAACAAUCAUGACACUCCUAAUCGUAGAUCCACUAGGAACAUAAGUUCACCAUCUUUGGUAAGUGAAAGAUUGCCUGAAAAAACGAAAACAGUCCACCCACAAUAUUGAGCCUGAAAACAGUAACAGCAGUACCAAAAGGCCUAGAUUUACUCUUGAAGACAGGCAUAAUAGUUCUUCUGGAAAGAAACAAUCAGAACUUUGUGACAAUCAACUGCAUCCAUCGACUAUGAAGAAGAACUCAGUAGAAGCAAUGGUGAUGUCACCUAUUGUUCCUAAACUGACAGAAAAACUAAGGAGUUCACAUUCUCAAGGAAUUACAUCUGUUUACCCUCAACAAAGAGGUAAAAGAACUGAUUCCCCUAGACUGUCAAGUGCUGCUUUCAAGAAUCAAAGAAAGAGCCCAAGGCUCGUGAACAGAGAAGCCAAGAUUUCACCAGGACCAAACACUCCUGGGAGCACGAUUUCCCAGCGGGCAAGUACAGAGUUCUGGAGGCUUAUGAAAAGUUUAUUAACACCUGUGAAGUUGUUAACAGGACGACAUAGUAAAUAGAUUUGAAUCUGUGAUUCUGUGCCAGUUUUACACUGAAUUUCUAAGCAUGUUUUUCAAGUGAAUGUUGUAUUGUUGUAAAUCAGUUGGGUUUUUAAGAUACUGAUAAUAUUUGCAAAAGAGUUGAUUUGAAAAGUUUAUGUGCUUUGGUUCAGCUUAGUGUACAAUAAAGAUGAAGCCAGGUUGCUUUAUAUAUCCAAUUAUGGCUGCAACAAAUCUACUAUGAGGCCAAUACAAUACAUAUCACAAAUAUAGGGUAAUGAAUAUGCAUGUCAUCAGUGGAUGUAUUCAUUAUAUUCAGUGGAACAAUAACAAAACAAUUCUUUGACAUGUUUUGACCAUGUUGACAAUAUUAAUUAAAACUUCGAAGACAAUAACCAGUGAAAACAUUUCUGUCACAUUCACCGAGGCCAAAUAAACUUGGUAAAUGUU